UCUUCGUUAUUGUAUGUGUAAUUCAUGAGACUAAUACACACUGUCUUAUCAUGUUUAUACCUGUAUUUAGCAUGUAAACGCUCAUUAUUUCGUAAGCAUCAUUAAUUCAAUGUAGGACUUUCCCUUUUGUUCCUACCUAAUAUUUUUGUUUUCUGCAUGUUGUCCUUUAGCUGUUGAGUUAGUCUUGACUCCGCAUGACUGGCUUGAUGUUAUAAAGAUGAGAAUUCCAAUUCAUUCAUUUUCAGGACUAUCUGUAUGUUUCUCUUAUAAGUUUGUCUGUAUUUUUGAAUUUGCAGCAUCAGUAUUUGUUACCUAAAGCAAGACAAGAAUCAAGAGAUCCUCCUCUAUGCGUCUCGAAAUUGCAUCAUCAAGUCUCACUUCCUGCCCAAUUAAAAACAAGUUCUGAUUCAAUGUUAGUUUCUUAGUUCUGAAGUUCUCCUUAAGUUGCCUAAAAUAUGGCAGGACGUUCCUCAGAUCCAACUCUACCUCGUGAGAAACCAGUUCAUUGGGUGAAAUUGUUUUACGUCUGCUGCAAUCCGAAUUGUGGGAACCGAUGGAGAGAUUAAGAUCAUUUAUACUGUGCACUAGAAUUUAAAGCUCCGAAUCAGAGUGUGUUGGUAAUGUAGAGUAGGAUGCAUAACAUCUGUUUUAUCCAUGUUGAUAUACACCAAAAGAGAUAUCAUUUGCAACCUAUGUCUAUGUGUUUUACUACUGAAGUAAAAUUUAAUUUUAUCA